rnacentral:rRNA from 1 species
GAGUUUGAUCAUGGACUCAGUGACGAUCGCUGGCGGCGUGCACUAACACAUGCAAGUCGAGGGGUAAGGUCCCGAGUAAUCGGGAUACACGACCGGCGCACGGGUGAGUAACGCGUAUGCAACCAACCAUCAACAGGGAGAUAGCUCCCGGAAACGGGAAUUAAUAUUCCAUAAUAUUUUUUUAUGGCAUCAUAGAAAGAUUAAAGCUCAGGCGGUUGAAGAUGGACAUGCGUGACAUUAGCUAGUUGGUAAGGUAACGGCUUACCAAGGCUACGAUGUCUAGGGGGUCUGAGAGGAUGAUCCCCCACACAGGUACUGAGACACGGACCAGACUCCUACGGGAGGCAGC